AUACUUACCUGGCAAGGGAGGUACCAGGAUCAUGAAGGUGGUUUUCCCAGGGCGAGACUUCUCCAUUGCUCUACAGAUGUCCUGACCUCUGUGAUUUCCCCAAAUGUGGGAAACCUGACUGCAUAAUUUUGAUUGUGGGGGACUGUAUUUACAUUUUCCCCUU